AUUGAACGCUGGCGGCAGGCUUAACACAUGCAAGUCGAGCGGGGUGAUGGUGCUUGCACUAUCACUUAGCGGCGGACGGGUGAGUAAUGCUUAGGAAUCUGCCUAUUAGUGGGGGACAACAUCUCGAAAGGGAUGCUAAUACCGCAUACGUCCUACGGGAGAAAGCAGGGGAUCACUUGUGACCUUGCGCUAAUAGAUGAGCCUAAGUCGGAUUAGCUAGUUGGUGGGGUAAAGGCCUACCAAGGCGACGAUCUGGAGCGGGUCUGAGAGGAUGAUCCGCCACACUGGGACUGAGACACGGCCCAGACUCCUACGGGAGGCAGCAGUGGGGAAUAUUGGACAAUGGGGGGAACCCUGAUCCAGCCAUGCCGCGCGUGUGAAGAAGGCCUUAUGGUUGUAAAGCACUUUAAGCGAGGAGGAGGCUCUUUUGGUUAAUACCCAAGAUGUGUGGACGUUACUCGCAGAAUAAGCACCGGCUAACUCUGUGCCAGCAGCCGCGGUAA
rnacentral:rRNA from 1 species